rnacentral:rRNA from 1 species
ACGCUCGACACCUACGGGGGCAGCAGUUGGGAAUAUUGGACAAUGGAGGAAACUCUGAUCCAGUGACGCCGCGUGAAGGAAGAAGGUCUUCGGAUUGUAAACUUAUUUUGUCAGGGAAGAAAAAUGACUGUACCUGAAGAAAAAGCACCGGCUAACUACGUGCUAGCAGCCGCGGUAAUCUGAGCGGGCUGGCAAGGC